rfam:Strigamia maritima strain Brora ctg7180000848448, whole genome shotgun sequence.
CGGCCCGUUAUCAAACGCGGGUAGGGGAUCCGACGGGCGCCGAAAGCUAAAAACCGAAAAGGCGGUCGUCGGCUCCGCGUCUGCCGUUACGCCCACGUGGAACUGGAAUCUGGCGUAGAGGCAAGAAAAAUUCAAAAAUAAAACGCUCACGGUCGGCGGCGAGUAGGUCGGUCACCCACCCGACCCGUCUUGAAACACGGACCAAGGAGUCUAACAUGUGUGCGAGUCGUAGGGUCUGCUUUUAAAACGAGCUAAACCCGAUGGCGAAAUGAAAGUGAAGGCCGCCCUCGUGGGAUGCAGAACGGCCGAGGCGAGAUCCUAAAAAAGUCGGCCUCCCUUUUCCCUCUCUCACGGGGGGGAUUUGCGGAGCCACCGGCGAAAUUUUUAAAAGAAACCGGACAUGGUAGGCACGCCGUCGGUCGUCAAAAAACCGUCGGCGGUCCGGAGGCGCAUCGCCGGCCCGUCUCGAUCGCUCCGAUCUUCCUUCCCGUUCUCCGCUCGCCGUUUCGGCUUUCCCGUCUCGUCACCUCUUUCGCGAGAGGCCGGGGCCGGGGUCGUCGCAUUCGGUUGGGGUUCGGGGGGGUCGAAAGGAAUCUCGGUCGAUGAGGCGGAGCAAGAGCACACACGUUGGGACCCGAAAGAUGGUGAACUAUGCCCGGGCAGGACGAAGCCAGAGGAAACUCUGGUGGAGGUCCGC